CGGGCUGUAGCGCAGCUUGGUAGCGCACCUGACUGGGGGUCAGGGGGUCGCAGGUUCAAAUCCUGUCAGCCCGACC
rnacentral:tRNA from 6 species